UGGGGAAUAUUGGACAAUGGGGGCAACCCUGAUCCAGCCAUGCCGCGUGAGUGAUGAAGGCCUUAGGGUUGUAAAGCUCUUUCGUCAGGGAAGAUAAUGACGGUACCUGAAGAAGAAGCCCCGGCUAACUUCGUGCCAGCAGCCGCGGUAAUACGAAUGGGGCUAGCGUUGUUCGGAAUUACUGGGCGUAAAGCGCACGUAGGCGGACUAUUAAGUCAGGGGUGAAAUCCCAGGGCUCAACCCUGGAACUACCUUUGAUACUGGUCGUCUUGAGUACGAGAGAGGUGAGUGGAAUUCCGAGUGUAGAGGUGAAAUUCGUAGAUAUUCGGAAGAACACCAGUGGCGAAGGCGGCUCACUGGCUCGUAACUGACGCUGAGGUGCGAAAGCGUGGGGAGCAAACA
rnacentral:rRNA from 1 species